rnacentral:misc_RNA from 1 species
AAGUCGUAACAAGGUAACCGUAGGUGAACCUGCGGUUGGAUCAUUACUGAUUACUUGACCUGGGGUGAGCUCUAUUCGAGAUCCCUCAGCGUCAUAAACACUUUGUGCACCUUUGUGUAUUUGGGUUGUUUUCGAAUGAUAGUUCGCAAGAACUUGAGUGAAAAGGCAACCCAACAGUGAAAACAAACCUUUAUUUUUUGACUGAAAUUCUAUAUAAAUAGAAACAACUUUUGACAACGGAUCUCUUGGCUCUC